rnacentral:rRNA from 1 species
UACAGAGGGUGCGAGCGUUGUUCGGAAUUAUUGGGCGUAAAGGGCGCGUAGGUGGCGCGGGAAGUCAACGGUGAAAGUUCGGGGCUCAACCCUGAAUCGGCCGUCGAUACUCCCGGGCUCGAGCACUGUAGAGGCAGGUGGAAUUCCGGGUGUAGCGGUGGAAUGCGUAGAGAUCCGGAAGAACACCGGUGGCGAAGGCGGCCUGCUGG